rnacentral:lncRNA from 1 species
CGCUGCGCGGGGCUUCAGCCGCCCAGUCCCUGGGACGCCCACUGCCCUCCAGGCCUCGCACCCGACACCCACCGCCCUCGCUGGGCUGGCGUAGUGUUUGGGUCCAUAAAAGGGACCGCCAUCCCGGUGCUCGGAGCAGGCGUAGCCCCAGGGUUACUCCGGAGACGGUGUUUUACCAUGUUGGCCAAGCUAGUGUCGAACUUCUGACCUCAAGCGAUCCGCCCGCCUCGGCCUCCCAGAAGGCUGGGAUUACAGGCGUGAGCCACCGCGAUUGGCCGCAGGAUCAUAGUUCACUGCAGCCUCGAGCAGCCACUUCCGGGGCAGCUCCUCCAUUCUCUGAGUUUGAGACUUGCUCUCAGCUCAGAUCCCUUCAGCGCUCUCCUGGCUGAACGACCUUGGGAAUGCACUGAGCCUUUCUGAGCUUCGGAUUAGUCUCCUCUCCUGGAAAAAAAAAAACAGCUGAGGACGCUGGGAUGAUCCCCUAAAGUGAUUAGCAGGGGCCCUCGCGGAGCAAGUCGGGCUAGGGAUUGUUCCUUCCCUCACCGAGGGGCUCUUUAUCUGUUUAACUGGGUGGGAGGAGUACGCUUCCGGCCAACCCUCCCCCAAACGCUGGCCUUCUCACUCUCACCUCUCCUUCCGCCUUAUUUUUGCUAUUGCCCUGAUCUCUGUCCGAUGUUCUAUCUUUUGUUUGUGAGUUUACUUGUUGACUACCUGCUCCUUCUAGCCCUGGCCUCCAGAACCAGUCCCCCAAACCCUCCAUCCUCCCCAAGUCUCUGACAGGUCAUGGACUGCAAAGCUUCCCACCCAUUCAGUUCCUGCACCCUCUGUAAACGUUCUGUGCAUGGAGCAGCAGUGUGGGGGAGGAGAGGCUGGGAUCCUGGCUGGGGGCGGCAGCCCACCUGCCUGCACCUUUCCUUGUCCUUCGCAUCUCUGGCGGCUGUGCCCCAGUGACUCAGGCAGGAUCCUUGUUGAUGACUCCAGACUGGCCCCCAGGAGGCCUGGGGCACACACAGGCCCCUCCCCAGCUGCCUAGGGCUACCUCUGCCAGCCCCAUCUCCCCAACAGGUCCCCUUCCAACCGCCCAUUUUUUAAAGUCUGAUUCACAAUGAUAAUUAAAAAAAAAAAAAAAAAAGCAUGGAAACACAUGCUUCCGAUGUAAAUUUCACUGUGUGAGGAAAGGCUGUAAUAUAAAUAUAUGUAAAUGGAAAUAAGUAGAUGGAGCAGAUAAGUGCGUGGUGUGAGGGAAACUAGGGCUGCGAUCCUGCCUGCCCCAGUUUCUGCGUGUGUAAAAUGGGGAUAAAAAUAAUAGUUUUCUAGACUAGGCAACAUAGCAAGGCCCUGUCUCAAGAAAGAAAAAAGAAAGAAAAGGAAGGGAAGAAAGGGAAAGAAAAAGAGAAAGAAAGAAAGGAAAGGAAAGGAAGGAAGGAAAGAAAGGGAGAGAAAAAAAGAAAAGAAAGAAGAAAUAAAGCAGUGAGGCACAGUGGUACACACCUGUAGUCCCAGCUCCUCAGGAGGCUGGAGUAGGAGGAUCACUUGAUCCCUGGAGUUAAAGGCCGCAGUGAGGGCCGGGUGCAGUGGCUCAUGCUGGUAACCCCAGCAGUUUGGGAGGCUGAGGCAGGUGGAUCACU